rnacentral:rRNA from 1 species
AUUGAACGCUGGCGGCAGGCCUAACACAUGCAAGUCGAACGAGUGGCGGACGGGUGAGUAAUGUCUGGGAAACUGCCCGAUGGAGGGGGAUAACUACUGGAAACGGUAGCUAAUACCGAAUAGCAUCGGAUGGGCCCAGAUGGGAUUGGCUAGUAGGUGGGGUAAAGGCUCACCUAGGCGACGAUCCCUAGCGGGUCUGAGAGGAGGACCAGCCAGACGGGAAGUGUGACACGGUCCAGACUCCUACGGGAGGCAGCAGUGGGGAAUAUUGCACAAUGGGGGAAAGCCUGAUGAAGCCAUGCCGCGUGUAUGAAGAAGGCCUUCGGGUUGUAAAGUACUUUCAGCGGGGAGGCGUUACCCGCAGAAGAAGCACCGGCUAACUCCGUGCCAGCAGCCGCGGUAAUUC